GAUGAAGAACGUAGUGAAAUGCGAUAAGUAAUGUGAAUUGCAGAAUUCAGUGAAUCAUCGAAUCUUUGAACGCACAUUGCGCCCGCCAGUAUUCUGGCGGGCAUGCCUGUUCGAGCGUCAUUUCAACCCUCAGGGCCCUUUUGGACCUGGCGUUGGGGCUCGGCCGCUACCCUGCGGCCGUCCCCGAAAGAUAGUGGCGGUCUCGCUGUAGCCUCCUCUGCGUAGUAGUUACAUCUCGCACUGGAACGCGGCGCGGCCAUGCCGUUAAACACCCCACUUCUCAAGGUUGACCUCGGAUCAGGUAGGAAUACCCGCUGAACUUAAGCAUAUCAAUAAGCGGAGGA
rnacentral:misc_RNA from 1 species